ACUAAUACUGACACUGAGGUACGAAAAGCGUGGGUAGCAAACAGGAUUAGAUACCCUGGUAGUCCACGCCGUAAACGAUGAUAACUAGCCGUUGGGAGGAUUUACCUCUUAGUGGCGAAGCUAACGCGUUAAGUUAUCCGCCUGGGGAGUACGGCCGCAAGGCUAAAACUCAAAGGAAUUGACGGGGACCCGCACAAGCGGUGGAGCAUGUGGUUUAAUUCGAUGCAACGCGAAGAACCUUACCUGGUCUUGACAUACAGAGAACUUUCCAGAGAUGGAUUGGUGCCUUCGGGAACUCUGAUACAGGUGCUGCAUGGCUGUCGUCAGCUCGUGUCGUGAGAUGUUGGGUUAAGUCCCGUAACGAGCGCAACCCUUAUCCUUAUUUGCCAGCACAUUAUGGUGGGAACUAUAAGGAGACUGCCGGUGAUAAACCGGAGGAAGGCGGGGACGACGUCAAGUCAUCAUGGCCCUUACGACCAGGGCUACACACGUGCUACAAUGGGAAGGACAAAGGGUCGCUAAGCCGCGAGGUGGUGCUAAUCUCAUAAACCUUUUCGUAGUCCGGAUCGGAGUCUGCAACUCGACUCCGUGAAGUCGGAAUCGCUAGUAAUCGUGGAUCAGAAUGCCACGGUGAAUACGUUCCCGGGUCUUGUACACACCGCCCGUCAUACCAUGGGAGUGGGUUGCACCAGAAGUAGCUAGUCUAACUGUUUACAGGGGACGGUUACCACGGUGUGAUCCAUGACUGGGGUAAAGUCGUAACAAGGUA
rnacentral:rRNA from 1 species